rnacentral:rRNA from 1 species
CGCGUAGGCGGUUUCCUAAGUCAGGUGUGAAAGCCCGGGGCUUAACCCCGGAAGUGCAUUUGAAACUGGGUGACUUGAGUAUGGGAGAGGGAAGUGGAAUUCCUGGUGUAGCGGUGAAAUGCGUAGAUAUCAGGAGGAACACCAGUGGCGAAGGCGGCUUCCUGGACCAAUACUGACGCUGAGGCGCGAAGGCGUGGGUAGCAAACA